rnacentral:rRNA from 1 species
CUAAUACCCAAUGUGCUCGGUGAUUCGGUUCAUCGAGUAAAGCUCCGGCGCUUCGGGAGAGGCCUGCGGCCCAUCAGCUAGUUGGUAGGGUAACGGCCUACCAAUGCAGAGACGGGUAGGGGGCGUGAGAGCGCGGACCCCCACACUGGCACUGAGAUACGGGCCAGACUCCUACGGGAGGCAGCAGUAAGGGAUAUUGCGCAAUGGACGAAAGUCAGACGCAGCGACGCCGCGUGGGCGAUGAAGGCCUUCGGGUUGUAAAGCCCUUUUAUGGGGGAAGAGAAAAAGGACGGUACCCCAGGAAUAAGUCCCGGCUAACUACGUGCCAGCAGCCGCGGUAAAACGUAGGGGACAAGCGUUAUCCGGAUUCACUGGGCGUAAAGAGCGUUGAGGCGGUUCCGUAAGUUGGGCGUGAAAGCUCCGGGCUUAACUCGGAGAUGUCGUUCAAUACUGCGGGGCUUGAGGACAGCAGAGGAAGGUGGAAUUCCCGGUGUAGUGGUGAAAUGCGUAGAUAUCGGGAGGAACACCCGUGGCGAAGGCGGCCUUCUGGGCUGUUCCUGACGCUGAAGGCGAAAGCUAGGGGAGCGAACGGGAUUAGAUACCCCGGUAGUCCUAGCUGUAAACGAUGGAUGCUGGGUGUGGGGGGUGUAAAUUCCCUCUGUGCCGAAGCAAACGCGUUAAGCAUCCCGCCUGGGGACUACGGCCGCAAGGCUAAAACUCAAACGAAUUGACGGGGGCCCGCACAAGCAGCGGAGCGUGUGGUUUAAUUCGAUGCUACACGAAGAACCUUACCUGGGUUUGACAUGCACGUGGUAGGGAACCGAAAGGGGACCGACCUUCGGGAGCGUGCACAGGUGCUGCAUGGCUGUCGUCAGCUCGUGCCGUGAGGUGUCGGGUUAAGUCCCGUAACGAGCGCAACCCUUGCCCUUAGUUACAAGUGUCUAAGGGGACUGCCCGGGACAACUGGGAGGAAGGUGGGGAUGACGUCAAGUCAGCAUGGCCUUUAUAUCCAGGGCUACACACACGCUACAAUGGCCGGUACAAUAGGUUGCGAAGUCGUGAGGCGG